UAGUAACAAUACUCCUUCAUCAACUGAUAACAACACUGUGCAAUCCUGCACUCUCAAAAGACCGUUCAAAACUCAAAAAAUUCCAUCCAACACCAGGAAUAACAGACUUCACUCCAACCAAUCUGGAUUCACAAAAUUUCUGUAAUCACAGACUUCCUUUGUCCAAAACACACACAACUCUCAAUAAACAACAAUCAUAAUCUUCCAUCCAUAAUCAAUCUUUCAAUAACUUCUUAUAUAAUUCAAUCACAUAAUACUCCAAUUACAUAAUGAAUAACUUUUAAAUCAAUCUCUAAUUUAUUCCCAGACUCACUUCUCAGUAUUCAAAAACUAUCCAUUAUUCUUCAACAACAAAGAAAACAAAGAAAAUAAAGAGGUAGCACCAAACUUAACCCCAGCUAAUGACUAUCAUAGUCUAGCAUCCCAACAAACUUCUAUAUUUCCUAUAUAAUUGCUAUUGAUUUUGAGAUCCUAACCAUAAUCUUAUAAUUAACUACUUUUAAUAACUAAAUCAACCAUCUGUCCUCUUGAACUGACUAUUCUAUAUACUAUUAAUCUAUUUUAUCAAUAUCUUACAAAAAAAUCUAAUAUCUAUUCUAC
rnacentral:lncRNA from 1 species